rnacentral:rRNA from 1 species
AACGAACGCUGGCGGCAUGCCUAACACAUGCAAGUCGAACGAGACCUUCGGGUCUAGUGGCGCACGGGUGCGUAACACGUGGGAAUUUGCCUCGGGGUAUGGAAUAACUCAGGGAAACUUGAGCUAAUACCAUAUAAUGUCUUCGGACCAAAGAUUUAUCGCCCUGAGAUAAGCCCGCGUAGGAUUAGCUAGUUGGUGAGGUAAAGGCUCACCAAGGCGACGAUCCUUAGCUGGUCUGAGAGGAUGAUCAGCCACACUGGGACUGAGACACGGCCCAGACUCCUACGGGAGGCAGCAGUGGGGGAAUAUUGGACAAUGGGCGAAAGCCUGAUCCAGCAAUGCCGCGUGAGUGAUGAAGGCCUCGGUUGUAAGGACUCUUUACUUGGGUAGUGAGUAAUAGACAGUACUCAGAGAAUAAGACU